rnacentral:ncRNA from 1 species
AAAGUCUCUUCCGAUGAAGAAGAGCCCCGAGUCAUGCGCGGGCGGCCGUGAGGACGUACGUGAAGCGUUGACAGGGGAGCAAGCAGGCCAGGUAUUAAGCCUCGAAAAAUGCAGCAUCCAGGCGCCGACGCACUCAAAUCCUUAUGCUCCCCUCUAUCGCGCCAUCAUCGUUUCCUGCGAUGCCACAAGUCGAUUGCAGGAUUGGUCCCGGCGCCGGUCGAAGCCGA